GUUGGUGGGUCCCGGUGGGUGACCUGGCGCGCUCUUCGAGGGGCCGCAUGCUACGCCAUCGAGCCGCGGGAGCUGCUCGACUGCUGCCUCAGGGGAGUGGUCGGUAAGACCGUGGGCGAUGGAAUGGUAGUCACUGCCCGCUACAAUGCUGAGACAAAGGCUAUAGAGUACCGGUUAGUGAAGUAAAUAUUUAGCAUUUCGUUUUUUAUGCAACAUUUUUUUUCUUUUUGCCGGAGAUCGUCUGUCUUACCAUAUUUUAAAUUUCAGUCUUGAGGCAGCUGAUAACCAGCAAUCUUCCGCCCAGUGUUUGCCGAGACCAUCCGCUGACCAUCUCAUCCAUGACCUUAAAUUCCUUUACGAUGCCCUGCUCAACCCGGCCUCCAUGCAACCCUACAAGCCAAGUGCCUUGAGGGAAUCUGCCCUCAGCUCUGCAGUUAAGCUUCUCGACUGUAAGCAAUUUAUCAGACAUUACGAUGAGUCUGUAUCGUACCUGUCACCUCCAAAUCCAUCAUCUGCGACGGCUCUUUGGUGCCACGUCAAGUUGGUCGACCAUCCGGAGGACUACACGGCUCCCCCACCGGAACUCCUGAUUCUAUCAGCAGGUGCCACCAUAGCCGAUCUCAAGCUGCAGGUGACGAAAACAUUCCAAGAGACCUAC
rnacentral:lncRNA from 1 species